rnacentral:rRNA from 1 species
CGUGUACUUGUCCGGCCGGGCCUUCCUUCUGGAGAACCUCAUGCCCUUCACUGGGCGUGUUGGGGACCAGGACUUUUACUUUGAAAAAAUUAGAGUGUUCAAAGCAGGCCUUUGCUCGAAUACGUUAGCAUGGAAUAAUAGAAUAGGACGUGCGGUCCUAUUUUGUUGGUUUCUAGGACCGCCGUAAUGAUUAAUAGGGACAGUCGGGGGCAUCAGUAUUCAAUUGUCAGAGGUGAAAUUCUUGGAUUUAUUGAAGACUAACUACUGCGAAAGCAUUUGCCAAGGAUGUUUUCAUUAAUCAGUGAACGAAAGUUAGGGGAUCGAAGACGAUCAGAUACCGUCGUAGUCUUAACCGUAAACUAUGCCGACUAGGGAUCGGGCGAUGUUCUUUUUCUGACUCGCUCGGCACCUUACGAGAAAUCAA